rnacentral:rRNA from 1 species
UAUCUCUGUAGAGUCUGCAUAUCAAUAAGCGGAGGAAAAGAAACUAACUAGGAUUCCCUCAGUAACGGCGAGUGAAGCGGGAAGAGCUCAAAUUUGAAAUCUUCAAGGUUCUACCUUGACGAAUUGUAGUUUAAAGAAGUGUUUUCUGUUGAGUUUCGGUAAAAGUUCUUUGGAAUAGGACAUCAUAGAGGGUGAGAAUCCCGUAUUUGACCAUUAUUUCCAGCUUUGUGAUACACUUUCAAAGAGUCGGAUUGUUUGGGAAUGCAGUCCAAAAUGGGUGGUAAAUUUCAUCUAAAGCUAAAUAUUGGCGAGAGACCGAUAGCGAACAAGUACCGUGAGGGAAAGAUGAAAAGAACUUUGAAAAGAGAGUUAAACAGUACGUGAAAUUGUCAAAAGGGAAGCGUUUGACACCAGUGUUGUUUUCUCGAAAAUCAAUUAAAAAAGGCAGGAUUUUGUGUUGUAUUGACUUUAUCAGCUUUCUGCACUCUUUUCUUGUCUUUUUUUAAUGCACUUUUCGUUUAACAAGUCAACAUCAAUUUCUUUUGUUGUAAAAGGGUCAUUGGAAGGUGGCUUUCUUUUCGGAGAAAGUGUUUAUAGCCUUUGGCCUCUGCAAUCGGAGAGAUUGAGGUCUGCAGCGUAGAUCCUUCGGGGUUAGAUACACUUUGUGCUAAGUUAUAGCCUUUCAUAGACAACUUGUUGACUAUGAUUAGUCAUGCGCUUACUCGCUUAUGCUAUUUUACCUACGCUUAGGAUGUUGAAGAUGUAGCACAUCAU